rnacentral:rRNA from 1 species
UACGAAGGGGGCUAGCGUUGCUCGGAAUGACUGGGCGUAAAGGGCGCGUAGGCGGCCUUCUAAGUCAGACGUGAAAUCCCCCGGCUUAACCUGGGAACUGCGUCUGAUACUGGGAGGCUUGAGUAUGGGAGAGGGAUGUAGAAUUCCAGGUGUAGCGGUGAAAUGCGUAGAUAUCUGGAGGAAUACCGGUGGCGAAGGCGGCAUCCUGGACCAUAACUGACGCUGAGGCGCGAAAGCUAGGGGAGCAAACGGGG